rnacentral:rRNA from 1 species
AUGACGUCGCCGGCGAAGGCAAUGGUGGCGGCCGCGGCAAUGCUGCUGCUCCUGUCGACGGCGGCCGUGGCCCAGCACAACUACGGCGACGCGCUCCACAAGAGCAUCCUCUUCUUCGAGGGCCAGCGGUCCGGCCGCCUCCCGCCCGACCAGCGCGUCCGCUGGCGCCGCGACUCCGCGCUCAACGACGGCGCCACCGCUGGGGUGGACCUGACGGGCGGGUACUACGACGCGGGCGACAACGUCAAGUUCGGGUUCCCGAUGGCGUUUACGACGACGCUCAUGUCGUGGGGGCUCAUCGACUUCGGCAAGAACUUCGGGUCGCACGGCGGGGAGGCCCGGGCGGCGGUGCGGUGGGCGACGGACUACCUGAUGAAGGCGACGGCGACGCCCAACACGGUGUACGUGCAGGUGGGGGACGCCUUCCACGACCACUCGUGCUGGGAGCGGCCCGAGGACAUGGACACCCCGCGCACCGUCUACAAGGUGGACCCCCAGCACCCGGGCUCCGACGUCGCCGCCGAGACCGCCGCCGCCCUCGCCGCCGGCUCCAUCGUCUUCCGCGAGGCCGACCCGGCCUACUCCAAGCGCCUGCUCGACCGCGCCAUCUCCGUGUUUGAGUUCGCGGACAAGUACCGUGGGGCGUACAGCAGCAGCCUGUACUCGGCGGUGUGCCCCUGCUACUGCGACUACGACGGGUACCAGGACGAGCUGCUGUGGGGGGCGGCGUGGCUGCACAAGGCGUCGCGCCAGCGCGUGUACCGCGACUACAUCAAGAAGAACGAGGUGGCGCUCGGCGCCAGCGACUCCAUCAACGAGUUCGGCUGGGACAACAAGCACGCCGGCAUCAACAUCCUCAUCUCCAAGGAGGUGCUGAUGGGCAAGGACUCCUUCUUCAAGUCGUUCCAGGUGAACGCCGACAACUUCAUCUGUACCCUCCUCCCCGGCAUCUCCAAUCACCCCCAGAUCGAGUACUCCCCAGGUGGCCUUCUGUUCAAGGUGGGCAACAGCAACAUGCAGCACGUGACGUCGCUGUCGUUCCUGCUGCUCGCCUACGCCAACUACGCCAGCCACGCCAACGUGCGGGUGCCGUGCGGCGGCUCCUCCGCCUCGCCGGUCGUGCUCCGCCGCGUCGCCAAGCGCCAGGUGGACUACAUCCUUGGCGACAACCCGCUGCGCAUGUCGUACAUGGUGGGGUACGGGGAGCGGUUCCCGCGGCGGAUCCACCACCGCGGCAGCUCGCUGCCGUCGGUGUCGGCGCACCCGGCCCGGAUCGGAUGCAAGGCCGGCGCGGCCUACUACGGCAGCAGCGCGCCCAACCCGAACCUGCUCGUGGGCGCCGUGGUGGGCGGGCCCAGCAACACCAGCGACAACUUCCCAGACGCGCGGGCCGUCUUCCAGCAGUCCGAGCCCACCACCUACAUCAACGCCCCGCUGCUGGGCCUCCUCGCCUACUUCUCCGCCCACCCCAACCUGCCCCAGUCCGAUGGCACCGACUGA